UUCUUCACAUAGGGUGUGGCUUCACGCAUGUACUUCACUGCAAGCAGAAAGACAAAAAGUGCUUUUAAGUACAUGAGGGUGGAAUUUCUGGCAAGUCGAUUGAAUUUUUGAAACCUGCAUGAGACAAGCUCUUAAUACUGAGCCUCUUAAAUUCUGAACCAGAUUCAGAAUUUCCGUUCCUCUCAAAAUAGUUAUUCUGUUAUUUAAAUUCUAUACCGAAGCAUUAAAUUCUAUACCAACAUGGUCUUUAGAACUUGCUAUUAUGAUAUUAUGGUGAUCUGAACAUGAGAAUUAUUUUCAGUUUUUUCAACUAUAGUAACUUUUAUCUUUUCUGAUUAUAAGUUACAUGUUGGGAAAGAUGUUAAAGAACAAAUGGGCAGAGAAUAAGAAAUCCUAUCUCAGGCUAAAAGACAUACAAUUAUUCAGUAUAUAAGUACAGAAUCUGGUAGCCAUAUUCACUAUCCAUGUCACCAUUUUUCUGUUGAGAAGCAAAGAGAAGCUUUUCAAUUUAAUAGUGCUAAGAACAUAUAUGCAAAGAAAGACAAAUACUUAUUUUAUAAUGACAAAAAUUUGUAAGAGCAAACAUACUAUAUGUAAGAGCUGAAAACUAAGAACAACCUAGAUAUCCACUAGAAAAAAAAAGACAAAAUAAAUAAGUGUAUAUAGACAAAUGUAUGCAUUUAAGACAUGUAUAUAGUCAAUUUUUUAAAAUGAGAUAGACAGAGAUGUGUUGAUGUAGGAAGACCUGUAAGAUCUAUUGUUAGCUUAAAAAACACAGUAGAGAGAAGGACAUACACUGUAAUCUUUUUGUGGAUAAAAUCAUUAAUAUAUGUUUGUAAACCUACAACAAUCUCUGGAUAGUAACACAAGAAAAUACUAAUAGUAGUUAGCUCUGAGGAAUGGAAAUAAAAGUCAAGUUGAUGGAGAAACAAACCUUUACUAUUCAUUUGUGCCAUUUUUAUGUCUAGCCAUAUGCACAUAUUACUUUUACAAAUUAAAAAAAAUAAAAAUGUUUUAAGAGCAGAGUGGAGCAGACUGAAAUUCUGCUCUUUGCUGUAUUUGCUUGGUCUUAAAAAGUUAUUUGCCUACCCUGAAUUUAAGCAUUUGAUCCUUAGAUGGCUUUUGAGUUAACAGGGCAACUAGACUAUUGGACCAUGCAAUAUAAACUUCCAUAUCCUUCUCUCCAUCACUCACACAGUCUGGUUCCCUGCUGCUUGGGGAGGAUUUGGCUAAGGCCUGUCUGUUGUUACAAAUGGCAGUGGAUUGGGAUAGGUGCAAACCAGGGGGCAUUUAUUUACUCUAGAUCUUUGAUGAUUCAGUUCCACAAAUUAGCAUCUUCACUGUGCAAGACAUAGAGCUGGGUUUACAGAGACUGUACUAAUAAACAAUACAUAGUUUCCAUAUGCAAAAGAGUUACAAAGUCAUGGGUAACUGUCGUCCAUGCCACUGGUGCCCCAUCAGAUCCUAGCUGCUACAGUUGUGAAUAACUCUCAGUUGCCCCCUACCCUUCCUAAUCUGGAAAUCCACUCUUGGCCAAGAGGGCACUAAGCCUGGGAGGCUAUAGUUUGCUGCCCAAUGCCCCAGGCAGAGGGUCUUCUUCUUGGGAUCCCAUCUAAGACAGUGACACAAAGUGUAUAAACUAUGGCACAAAGCAGAAUGAGUUAAGUUUUAUAACAGGGAUGGAGCACCUUGGAAGAACCCAUGAGGAAAAUGGAUCUGGGAACAUGGAGUGAUGGAUUAGGCCCAUAACAAAUUAAUAAGCAUACCCAAUUGCAUGUGAUAUGGAUAUAUAUUAGGGAACUCAACCAUAGAUAUCAAAAACAGCCAUAUUAAUUCAAGACAGAGAUGUCAUUUAGCACCAACACCUAUUUGAAAAGAAGAUUUCAGGGCUUUAACAGAAUAUAAGUGCAGUUAGGAGAAAAUGGCUCCAGAGUGGCAGCAAACAUGUUAGCACAAGCUACAGUCACAGAAGAAGAAAGGGUAUUUGCGGGCAAUGUAUCUUAAGGAAUACUGUUUAUUUUAUUUGUUGGCAAGAUACUUAAAAAAUAACAUGGACAUACCUAAGAACAAUUCAGGGGGACAGGUUUAAACUGUCCAAAGGUGGACUAAACAGGCCUUUCUGAAGAUACUGAAGUUUUUAACUCUAAAAAUGUUUUAAUAAAAGUGAGAACAUUGCUCAGCUUUGUACACUGUAGAAUUACAAUUACCGAUACACAGGAAAUUCAAAUAUCGGCUGAGAUGGUUUGAAGAUUCUCCUUUAAUUGCAUUAUUAUCUUUCUGGCUGGAGUAGGAAAUGUGUGUUGUAGAAGUGAGAAUCUAUGGAUGCUUCAUGGAGUAGGUGUCAUUUGAACUUGGCCUUAAAAGGGUAGAUAGGACUUUAAAAAGUAGAGAUGAGGGUAACAAUAUUCCUUUCAUAUGAUGUACUCUGAUUUACAAUUUUUAUUGAAAGUCCAUAGGAAAGAAAAGUUGAACCUCAACUUAAAGGCAGAUAAAGAAGGAACAUUAUUAUACACCUAAUAAUGUGCCAUUUAUGGAACCAGCUGCUUUACAUAGCUUCCCAAAGUUAAGCAUCAAAAUGACCAUUUAAGGUACCACCCUAUAUAAAGGCAACUAAGGUUCAGAGAAAAGAUGGGUAAGGGAUCUUUCAUUUAUUGAGAAACCAUGUAUCCACAAUAAAAGAAUAAAUGGCUGUCCCUUUCAGACCUUGCUAGGUCUUGUAGGAUUCCUUUAAUUCUGAUGGACACUAGGAGCUUUACAUACAUUAUUUGUUGCAAGACUACGAUUAUUUUACACAUCAGCACACCCAUACUCAGAAGUUUAGCGUAUGUGGCAUCAGAUGGCUAGUAAAGGGUGGAGCUGGAAUUUGAUUUCCCAAAGAUCAUAUUCUUUCAUGAAAUCUGCCUCCCCUGCCUAGACGAAGGAUGCAAAAUGAUAAGCUUAUAGGUUUGGACUUUAUUCUAUUGGCAGAGGUGAUAGCCACGGUGAUCUAUGAGCAGGGACAGGGAGGUGAAAUUGGGUGUACUAAAGGGAAAAGAUAUUAGAGGUAGAUCCGCUCCUUACAUGACCAGAGGGAGUUACUGUGGGAGAUAACCUAAGCAACAUUCAAAAUAUCCAUAUAAGGGGUGAGGAACCCCAGAAAUGUGCAGCUGGAUCCAUCAUGGGCAGAAGUACGGGGAGUACAGCAAGUCUUAGGAUGGAAGCAAAUAUUUAGAGGUAACUACAUCUUAUGUGGUAUAAACUGGGGAAUUUACAUAUGAGAGAAGACAGCAAUGCCUUGAAGAAAGGACACCCUUUUGGAAAGGGUAUUCAACACAGACUAAUUCCUUUAAUUGACCAACUGAAAACAAAGAAAAAAUAAGUUAAGUUAAUAAGGCAGGUAUGAUCAUUUCGAUUCAUUGAUUCAGCCAAACUUCAUCUGUCAUUUUUCUUGUGCUGAGGAUGGUGCUGUCUAAGAGAGAUGAUAAGAAAUGGUACAUCCUUAAAAGAAGUUUAAGUCUAGAAAAGGAGGAAGGGAAGCAAGUAAAUGACAAGAGUUCUUGUGUUAAACCUUAAACCUGAUUUAGGGAGGGUUCCAAGCUGGACAAGCCUCUAAGACCUGGCAGAAUUAAAGGCAACUCCUUCCUGAGAAAGGCAAUUUCCUCCUAGGCUUCAAAAAGUCCCCAUGAAUCAUUACUUGUUUGGUGACGAAGCCUCAGCAAAAUCCUUAAAUGAGUCCAGAGAUCUCUAGCACCACCAGAAAACAAGUUUUCAUCCUGAGAAUGGACCAGCAACCUCAACACAUCCCUGCAUACAGCCCCUUUGUUUGGGAGUCUUGUUCCUUUUUGACAUGUAUAGAAAAUGGAAAACCUUAUUUUUGUGAAUAACAAAGAAAGCAAAAGAAAAUUGCCAUUGGACUUCUCCAAGAGCCCACAAUUUCUCAUCCAGGGGAAGUAAUAAAAUUGCCAGAAUAUCCCUUCUUGCUAUAAGGCUUGACCAUCAGCUGUGAGCAUAGUUCUCCUGUGCAGCAGUCCCUCUUCAGUCAUCACCCACGGCCUGAGGCUCAGUCCCCUCCCCCCUCCAGCAUGGAGGAAGAGCAGUGCAGCCCGUCUAGGAGCGAUAAGGCAGGGCCUCUAUAGGAAACAGAGUGUGUGAAACUUACCAUGGUUCUUUGUGCCUUAGCAUCCUGAAAUUUCUACACAUUGCAGUCAAAAUAAUGGUCUAAUUCAGGGAGGGUAAGGUAUUACCUAAGACUAGAGUUGACUGCAACAGGUGGCCCAAAUUACCAUGUUUUAAAUAAUAUACAGGUUUGUUUUUCUUUUACCAAAUGUCUAUAGUAAAAGAAAAGGGCCGCCCGGGCACCUUUGCUCCCUUCCUGUUCUUCAUUCCUAACCUGCCAUCUAAUGAUCCAAGGUGGCUGCUUGAGUUCCAGCCAUCAUGACCAAAUUCCCUUCACUAGGAAGGAGGAAGAAAUAAAGGACACAACACUCUUCAGAGGUUGACACCCUAUAUCUGCUUAUAGCCCAUGAGCCAGAAUUUAGUCACGUGGCCACUUCUAGAUGGAAAAGAAAUUUACUCUUAACUCGGGAUGGCCCUGUGCCAACUAGUGGGAAGGGGAGGCUAUUAAUGUGGAAGAAAAGAAUAUGUAUUAGGGAACAACUCUCAGCUUUUGCCACAGAGAGCAAUCCCUAAUUCUGUCAGCUAAAACACACCUAGAUUUUGUAACACAUAAAUACAAGUGAAUGUGUUGAAGCAGUCAGUAAAAGACACGGAAACUAGAUUCCGUGAACUUUGCUAAGUGUUUUUUAUGUACUAACUCAUUAGAUCCUCACAACAAUCUUACAAUACAAGCACUUCAAUCAUACCAUUUUACUCGACUGCAAAAGAGAAGGGUUAUAUCAUAUGCCAGGUUACAGUGCUAGAAAAGGCAGAAACAUGAGUCAAAUCCAGGCAGCCUGGUCCAGAGUCCUUACUUUCACCAUGAAGCAAUACUGUUUCUCACAGUUAAAAAAAAAAAUUACUUGGAUGUGUGUGUGUGUGUGUAUUUAAGUCGAUGUUUUUAUGUGCUAGGAGAAAACACCCAAUUAAAUGGCUAUUGCCUGUAACAUAAAGAGAGCUUGAUUUUGUAAGCCUGAGCUAUUAAACUAUGGCAUUUCAAUAAAUGCCUUUUAAGACACUGUAAUAUGUAUUCAUAAUAGCGGGUUUAACCUGGCAGAACUGAACAGCUAGUGUCUGCAUAAUUACACCUCCAUGUGCUUACAGACAGUAUUUUUAGGCAAAGAGCUGUUGAAACUGAUCAAGGAGCAGCCCAGCCCAAGCUCAGGCUGCCUCCUAAUCAGGACUAAUUAAUAAACCAUGCCCUUUCUGAGCAUCAUGAAUUAAGAACUGUGUUUGAGCAAUUAAAAUUCCAAUCUUCAUUUGCAGAAAAAGGGGAGGAGAGCAGCAAGAAGUGGUCUUCAUACCAAUAACCCACCAAGUCACUUUCAAUAUGUUUCUAGUUUUGCAUCUGAAGGCUAGGCUGUUAUGAAGAUUUCAAAAGAACAUUCAGGAAAGCCCAAGUUCGUGGAGCCCCCGAGUUGCCACAAUUAAAUCUUUGUCGAGGCGGCCAGAUGACAGUUGAAAGGAAAAGCGCACUUGGGCUACUAAUGAGGAAAUGCUUUAGACAAAUCCAAUCAACUCUCCUACCGGUUUGGUUGCUGAGGAGCCAGCAAGUCAAUCUGACAUGUACAAGUUUUCUUCUUAAAAAUAACAGAAACAACAAAAAAGGGAUUUCCAAAUUACAGGAAAGAAAAUAAAUAUUUCAUUACUCUAGGGGAUGUGUACGCAGCAUGUGCAUUUUCUACUGUGAUUAAGGGGGAAGGCAAGAAACCUAGGUAUUUGGACCUUUGGUGAAACUUUCAAGUUUGGGACAGAUUGCUGACAGUGGGAUUUGCUGACCAAAUGCAAUAUAAGGCUUCCUUUAAUGGCAUUUUCCUAGGUCACCUCAGCGAGAGAAGAUGCAAAGGGAGAUCAUCAAUAUUUCAAAAAAGACCAAGAAAUGAUGAAAGAGGUAAUAUAAGCUUCUUGGAAACUAUAGCUAAUUUCUCAGGAGGCUGAGUGGUGAGGUGGAAAGAGAAUUGGCCCUGGGAGUCAGGGACCUGGAUUACAGCUCCAGGUCUGUUGCUAACUAGCUCUCCGGCCCUCAGAAAGUCACUUCACCUCCCAGACCUCAUUUUCCUCACCUGUCAAGGGAGGGAAGUAAGGCCCCUAUCUUUCAAACAUUCUAUGAUUCCCUGGGAAGCUGUCUCUUUUAACAACUUCAAAAGAAGAGUAUUUUUUACCUCAUCUUGCUGUUUGUGUUAUUGCCAACAAAUAGCUCGGUUAAAAUGUGUUCCAAAUUCUUAGGCCUUAGGCAGGAUGUGUCCUCUGACUUUUAACCAAGCCUCAUAGGCACCUGACAAAAAUGAAAAUAAGCCUACACUGAGAUUAUGUACUCAAAUUCCUCGUUCUUUGGUUUGUCGGCAUUGUCUAGACGAAUUAUUGUUUUCAAUCACUUACCAAUAUUUAUUUCUCUUCUUCCAUUCUGCCAAGUGAGUCCUUGAAGGUCGGAUUUAAGAGACAUUUGAAGAAUAACCAAAAAGCUCUCAUGAGAUCAUAAGGACAUUCUGGGUAAGGAGCUGAGCUUUACGUGGAGUCUGGCGUAAAUUACACUGGGUAUGAAUUUGUUGAGUAAUCUUUGGCCUCCAACUUAAAAACUACCUCAGAAUUAUCCUACUUCAGAUAGUACAGUCAUUUGAUGUGAUGUGCCUUGACUCUUCAAUGAAGCAAGCUCACUGCCCCCAGAGAUGCCUGCAGGGACCCAACCCAGCAGCAAACUGAUUGGUUUAGUUAUCCAUUCAUUCAACAAUCGUUGCAUGAGCUUCCGUUCCAGGCCAGACCCUGAGUGUUGGUUACCCUGGUAAACAAGACAGCAUGGGUGCCUGCCCUUGAGGUGCUCUCACAUUCCAGGUGCCUUGUAUAUUGGGGGCCAGGCAAGAGACAGGCAAAAAUAAAUAUAAAUCGACAAAAAACAAAAAAACAAAAAUAAAUCGAUACACAAAUAUAGGGCACUGCUCUCAAAGAGACACACUCUAGAGGACUUGGGUCUGGGCCCACCUCCUGUCUUCACCUCAGCUAACUACCUCUUAGUCCCCACUCGCCAGUGCAUAUGCCAGUCAGAGAAAUACUGUUUAAUUCUCUGAACAUGCUGUGUGCUGUCCUGCUUCUGUUUUGAGCAUGUGAUCUCUUCUGCAUGGAACCCUUUCUGUAAAACUCCUCUCUACAUCCUGGAUGGAAGUCUCAAUUCAGGAGAAGUAUUACAAAUGAAGCAGCAGAGGCCAGAGAGUAUCUGUCACUUGUCCAAGGUUUCAAGACAAAGAAGUAACAGAUGAAGACAGAAUAUCGUAUGUGAAUAGGACUUUACGUCAAAAGGCAGGAAGUUAUGUUCUCACUUCCUCUUUACAGACCCACAGGAAAAUUUAACAAUACAAAAGGUGGACAAAUUGAGGCCCAAAGAGUUUGAAUAUCUUACCACAAGCCACUAAGGACCUCACUGAUAAUGGAAAUGCAGUUUAAUGUUCCUUUCAUUUCUGCCUGGACCACAUGAAAUACUACCUGCUAUCUCAGAGCCCGGGAUGCAGCCCACUGAGCCCUGCUCCAACAGGCCCGCUCAGCAUUUGCACUGUUCUCUCUCGGCACAACUUGAGAGGGAAGACACCGAUUCCUUACAGAAAGGUGAUACAAAAUAAUGCUUGGGUGACCCCAAUGGCCCAGGGAAUGGGACUAAAACUUCGGCUCAUCAGCUGCAUUUUUGUCUCAACUUUGCCACAACACACCCUCUGAUUUCACUUUUGCUGAUGGAAAUUCUCAGCUAGCAAAUGCUCUAAGCUGCCAGCGCACCGAGGUUUGCCUCCUCCGCCAUGGGGAGGUUUCCAGCCUUGCUGCAGAGGCUGGACAGGAGUCUGCAACAGUUGGUGUGUGCUGCUUGACAGGUCCUUCCCCGGGUGCAGACAGUAAGUGGCUGACAUGUGCAGGGUGCAAGGGAGCCAGGGAGCGUCCAGGUAAACUGCCUUUUAUGUUGUUCCAAACACAGAAACAGGGCCAGGGUCCAAAGCUGCUUAUUCAGUCCCCAUACUUUUAGAAAGAGGAUCUUCAGGACAUUUUAGAGAAAACAAAAAUAAAAUGGGAAACAGAACCCUCUUUCCUCAAAGGGCUCAAAGAAGAGAGCACUUCCAUGGUGCCUGGAGACUGGACUAAGGUAGGGGAAAAGAGGUGCGAGAUGUGUCCAUCCCUCAGCCCACAGCUGUCCUGCCCUUCGAACUAGGCAAGAGAGGCCACUGCCCCGCUCAACUCUUAGAAGGCUCUGCUCUGGUCCUUCUCUGCCCACACCCCUUCCCCUGGGGUGAGGCGUUCUCCAGGCCAUGGGGAUGUACCCAGUUGGUGUCUGUGUUCCCCCUCAGAACCCUGGAAUUUUCUGUCUAAAUGGCUCCAAGCUGGCUCCAGGGCAUGUGGGCAUCUGUCCUCCCUGUCCAUCCUCGUGAGGGUCAUUGAGCACAAUAUGCCAAACUUUAGGCUCAAGAGGGACAAAAGGGCACAUGUUUGCAGGGGCAGGGUGUGAACAGAGCUUGUGUGGGCUGGGGUGCCCACACAUGUGCUGCCUGUGGAGCAGCCCAGGGUAGGAAGAAAAGAGGUGUGCUUCAGGCUAGAGCCCCUGCUCCCCGGCCUUCCCCCAGAUUUCCCUCUCCUGCUUCUGGAGUAGAACUCCAAGGCGUCAGGAAUUCUAAAUGUAACCCCGUGCAGGAGGUGGCUGAAUGAAUAUAUUUUAUUUAAUGUUUACAAGUUUGGUUGAUUAUGUUAAGAUAUUUAGACUUGUAGAAUAUAGACCUCCAUUUGUGCUUCUGUCCAGGGCUGCAAAAAUACUCAGAGUGGGCCUGGUUCUGACACACCCCUGCUCACUGACUACUUCUGGGAGAGAAAGGGAAAGAAAGACUAAGAAUUAUUUGGGAGGUGGGAAGUGAGGGUGUUGGGGGGCUGGGUAGGAUGCACUAUGGAGCUACUAGAAGGAAUGAAGAAGUUAAGGGAAAUUAAAAUCCCCAGAAAGAUCAACAUAGAGCACCUUUUCCCCUGUGGUUCUCUGUAAACUCUAAAUGUUACUCAGGCAAGAGUGCUAAUUUUGUACAGCAAAGGAAAAGAAUGUUCUCUUCUGCCUUGACUUUUGUAUUCCAGAGCUCCUUUGAAAAUAUGGCAACUGGGUCCCAAGUGACCAUUCCUCACCCUCCCUCCCUGCACCCCGACAAGUGCCCUGCUCCCGGCACACUCCUCCUUUGCAGGAGGCAUGCACACUGGCUGGGUCUACUCUCUCUCUGGUUUGCUCAGGCCGAGAUGGCAGAUCUGGCUGACGCUCCUGCCUUCUGUCACUGCUCCAUGCCCUGACUGCCCGAAGCUGUGGUACAGCCGGUGGAAGGAGAUAGUCUCGUUGAACUCACUGUCUUAGUUUGGCUUCUCCCCAGAAGCAGAGCCUGAGACAAGGACUUGGGUGCAGGCGGCUUAUUUGAGACGUGAUUCCAAGAAGCACAAAUGAGGAUGUGGGGAGAGCGAAGCAGGGGAGGGAGAAAAGCCAACAGUGUGCUUGAGAAAGCCAAACUUACUUUCUCACCCAGCUUUCACCUGCGCUCACAUCAUUCCUCCUACCAUGGGAAGUGUCUGACCUUUCUUCUUUCUCUUGCAGGAAUCCAAUUAUAUGAGUAGUGGCCAAGGCUCAGACAGCCAGAAGCUCAUCUUCCUGUUUGUAAACCCAUUUCAAACUAUCCACAUGUUUCAAUAAAAAUUUUAUACUCAUUA